UAAUUAUAUUUUGAUUAGUCAGUUAAUUUUAAUUAGGAAAUUGAUAAUUAAUAUAAUUAUUAAUAUACUAAAAGAUAUUAUUUAUUAAUUACUAGAUUAUGGAUGUUUAUGCAUUUAUGGGAAAUUUCGUUUAGAAAAACAUGGAAAAUACAAAUCGUAUGCAAGAAUAUAUGAAAUACUUAUUUAAAAAUUGAAAAAAUUUAUCGGUCAUCGGACUUAAAUUCCAAAAAUAAAUUGUACAGACAAUACAGUUUAUUAAGGAAACUGAUUCUCCAUAUUAAUUAAAAGCAAUUGAAUAAAUAUGGAUUGUUAGAUUCGUAAAAUUUAUAAUAAUAUAGAAACGUAUAUAGAAUUUAGAAAAUUUAGAAAAAUCCGUGAACGAAAAAGCUUUCAGAAAAAUAAUAUAUAUUAAUUCGAAAGAACACGAUGACAAAUAAUGCAUGGCAUUGAACAACUGCAUCUAGCAUCUAGAACCAUAAUACAUCAGAACAUAGAGUUAAGACCUUAAUCUUUUCCUUACUAUGAGUUACACCCUUCGCAUUCAGCUAGCGUUGAAUAAUGACAGACUAUAGUCACCUUUAACGAAAGUAAAUGUUAAAAUCAGUACCAAUAAAAAUGAAGUUUCUUAGCUAUAACUAUAGAUCAACAUUGAAUUCUAGUUUACUUUUCUCGUAGCAGUUCAGAUUUCUACAUAACUCGAUAAAGUUUUCGACAAAGUUGGUCGAUCUAAAACAUAAAUUAAAGAUUGAAAAUUGAAAAUAUUGAAAUCUUUAAAUACGAUAAUCGCAAUAGCUUCGAUGAAGACGGGAUAUAAUUUUUUGUACAACUAAGAUAAAUACAAAAUUUGAUUAAAACGACUGUGUUUGGAAGAUCUUAUUAUAGAUUUCCAAUUCUUUAUAAAUAUGUAUAAUAACGUGUUUUAUCUGUUUUACCUACUACUUUUUUAAAUCAUUAGCAAUUCUGUCGCAUUUUCCCAUCAUUUAAUCAUUAUCAGUUUGUAAGACUGAAGAUAAAAUAAAAGAAUCAUUGUUGAUAUGUUUAAUAUCAGAUUAAUUAAAUUGAGUGCGUUGAAGUUUUUAUGCAUUUAAACAAAAGAUGCAAAAAUUCAAAGAGCGCAGCAAGUUUAAUAUUUUAGAACGUACAAAUAUUUUUAUCACAUUAUAGAAUUUCCUCAAAUUGUAGAAUUUAUAAUAUUAUUUGUACGCGUUCUCCUCUGACCUGAGCAAGCAACUUUUAAGAAACUUUAAAAAAGAAACUAAAAAAAGCAAUUUCUCUAUUUUUACUUAUAGAUCGUUAAAAACCAAGGAAUUGCCGCGAAUUUUCAGCACAGAAUCAAAUCAAUCAGUUUCGCAUCGAACGAGCCGAAUAAUGUCCGUUUAAUCUCAAACUACACGCUUUGAUAUAUAAUAAUUAGGAUAAACGGAUUUUUGUGCAAUUUCCUAUCUUUGUGUACUCGAUUAAAAAAAUGAAACGAAAAUAGCGAUUUAUUUCGUUUAAAUAUCUCAAGUACUCUACGAAAAAUAUUUUACAUAUUUAUAUAUGUUAUGCGUAGGGCGUUCCGUUUUUAAGUUACAUAAAGAACUCACAGACAUGCUUAGCCUAAUUUGCAAGCGUAAUUAAAAUGGAAAGCAAGCAGGCGCAAACCUUUAGUUCCCGCCCUCGACACGCGCGCACGCUGCCAGCGAACCACGUAUCGCGCAAGGAUUUCUGAUCGGUCGUUGAGCAAUUUUAGGGGUGUUCCAUGGUGGAAAGAACGACGGCUAUUGUACGGAGAGGGGGUCGGAAUAGUGGGGGGCAAUCACCAGGGGUUAUACCUUGAUGGAAAAGUAUAAAAGGGCGCAGAAAGGUGCGUGGAGUGUUGUAGUCACGAGCUAUCCCGAGCGAGAAGACAGCAGUUGCGAGUUGUCCUCUUCGAGCCAACAACGCUCCGACUUCAGUCAGCGAUUGGGUGUUGAAGAAGGCGGUCAUAGAAGAACAUCACCACCAGUCGAGCUCUCACAUUGCACAAGCAUCCCUUGGCUUCACGGUCUCAGCAUCUGACUGCGAUCUGGACCAGGCGCAUCCGCAACAUCUAUACGCAUCUAUACGCAUUUAUUUGCAUUUAUAUGCAAUUAUAUGCGUGACUUUCGACCAGUGAGGCGUGUUACGAUUCCUUGCGGCCCUAUCAACCAGCAACUUCGAACAGCUACAUCUAUCUGAUCAUUGGCAUUCAACGGAGUGUGUUAACCGGAUCAGCGACAGCACCUAUUGAUCUAUCAAUAUGAUGUUUCAUAAUAGAGAACAGGAACAACCAAGAUCCCACUGGUGGUUUCCUAAUAGGUGCUACUUCCUUUUGUUGAUGCUCGAAAGCUUUAUUGGUUUGAUUACCUUCGUCUUCACAGUUCUAUUGACGCCCGGCCAGAGCUUGGAGUUGUGCGCAGACGGAGUUGCCAUUUUGACAGGACUUGCUGGUAUUGUUGAUGCGUUGAUGACGCCGCGCAACAGAUUUUCCGGCUUUACCACGGCUUUCAUUGUAGUCGACCUCGCUGCCU